GCCUCUGUAGUGCAGUUGGUUGCAACGCGCUCCCGGAAAGAGUGAAAUGCGGGUUCAAUCCGCGUCUGAGGUU